rnacentral:rRNA from 1 species
GACGAACGCUGGCGGCGUGCUUAACACAUGCAAGUCGAACGAAGAGCGAUGGAAGCUUGCUUCUAUCAAUCUUAGUGGCGAACGGGUGAGUAACGCGUAAUCAACCUGCCCUUCAGAGGGGGACAACAGUUGGAAACGACUGCUAAUACCGCAUACGAUCUAACCUCGGCAUCGAGGAUGGAUGAAAGGUGGCCUCUAUUUAUAAGCUAUCACUGAAGGAGGGGAUUGCGUCUGAUUAGCUAGUUGGAGGGGUAACGGCCCACCAAGGCGAUGAUCAGUAGCCGGUCUGAGAGGAUGAACGGCCACAUUGGGACUGAGACACGGCCCAGACUCCUACGGGAGGCAGCAGUGGGGAAUCUUCCGCAAUGGACGAAAGUCUGACGGAGCAACGCCGCGUGAGUGAUGACGGCCGUCGGGUUGUAAAGCUCUGUUAAUCGGGACGAAAGGCCUUCUUGCGAAUAGUUAGAAGGAUUGACGGUACCGGAAGAGAAAGCCACGGCUAACUACGUG